rnacentral:rRNA from 1 species
GAUGAACGCUGGCGGCGUGCCUAAUACAUGCAAGUAGAACGCUGACGGGGGAGCUUGCUCUUCUGGAUGAGUUGCGAACGGGUGAGUAACGCGUAGGUAACCUGCCUGGUAGCGGGGGAUAACUAUUGGAAACGAUAGCUAAUACCGCAUGACAACAGUUAUUGCAUGAUAACUGUUUAAAAGGGGCAACUGCUCCACUACUAGAUGGACCUGCGUUGUAUUAGCUAGUUGGUGAGGUAACGGCUCACCAAGGCGACGAUACAUAGCCGGCCUGAGAGGGUGAUCGGCCACACUGGGACUGAGACACGGCUCAGACUCCUACGGGAGGCAGCAGUAGGGAAUCUUCGGCAAUGGACGGAAGUCUGACCGAGCAACGCCGCGGUAGUGAAGAAGGUUUUCGGAUCGUAAAGCUCUGUUGUAAGAGAAGAACGAGUGGGAGAGUGGAAAGUUCACACUGUGACGGUAUCUUGCCAGAAAGGGACGGCUAACUACGUG